rnacentral:lncRNA from 1 species
AGAGUGCUGAGUGGGAAAAGGAAAGGCUGAUGUUCCUUGCUCCCUAUUACUAUCUAGAGUUUGAGCCUGGAGAAUUCCUUCUGUGGGAUCUUCAUUCUGGCAGCAAACAUUUAUUAAGUACUUACUUUAUGUCAGGACUAAGGUCUGGGAAUACAAAUUUAAGUAGAAAGGAAAUUCCUGUCCUCAAAGAGCUUAUAUUUUAAUUAUUCCAAUGGAUGAAAAAAAGCCUCAAAGGAAAGUAAAUUGAAGUUAGGGUCUGGGAACCUGGUAUCUAAUGCAGAGGUGUAUGAUCAAGAAAAAUUACCUGGCCUGAGUGCUCUUUUUAAAAGGAGAUUCUGGGAGGAGCCAUCUAAUCAGAGGGAGAGACCUCAGAGGGAGAUGGCACUCAUAUUGAGUGAAUUCCAGGGUUGAGGGGAGCUACUUUUGUUAAAAAGGAAGAAUACUGCCAAGGAACCAUCUUCUUCUGAAUAUGGAUGGUGUUCUUUCUUAUAAGUCCUUCAGAAUUGUCCUGGGCCAUUGCAUUGCUUCUAGUAGAGAAAAGCCUGCAUAUUAUGAGGAUCCUGGUUCAGGCUUCUGCUCUAGCAAAAGCUGAACAUCCAGGUGCUUACAUGGAUGUCAAACAGCCCAGUCAAGCUAUCCAGUUCAAUCCUUCCCUGAGAGACCAAGAAAAGACCAUUGCCUCCUGCUUGUCAUCUUGGAUUCAAGCACAUAUCCAAGUGUCCCAGUUCCUUCAUCUCUGAUAUUAAAUUUGAAUGGAAUUGUAAAAUUUGGAUGAAGAAACUGAGGACUAGAGUCCUGGGUUCCAGUUCCUCUGACUAGCUGUCUGACUUCUAGAGAGUGACUUCAUCUUCCUGGACCCCAGUUUGUCCAUCAUCAAUAUCUGGCUGUUGGAUUCAGAUGAGGUACCUUGGGGUAGUGGAGACAGUACUGGGUUUGAAGAGGAAUUUCAUAGCUCUCUUGUGACCCUCGCUGUAUGACCUUAGGCAAAGUAUUUCAUCUCUAUACCCCUGUUUCCUCUUGGAUAAAAGGGCACUUCCAACUAUAUCUGUGCUCCUA